rnacentral:tRNA from 1 species
GCGGGAAUAGCUCAGUGGUAGAGCGUCAGCCUUCCAAGCUGAGGGUCGCGGGUUCGAAUCCCGUUUCCCGCUCCA